rnacentral:rRNA from 1 species
CAGUAGCACGGUAAUACGGAGGGAGCUAGCGUUGUUCGGAAUUACUGGGCGUAAAGCGCACGUAGGCGGCUUUGUAAGUUAGAGGUGAAAGCCUGGAGCUCAACUCCAGAACUGCCUUUAAGACUGCAUCGCUUGAAUCCAGGAGGGGUGAGUGGAAUUCCGAGUGUAGAGGUGAAAUUCGUAGAUAUUCGGAAGAACACCAGUGGCGAAGGCGGCUCACUGGACUGGUAUUGACGCUGAGGUGCGAAAGCGUGGGGAGCAAACAGGAUUAGAUACCCCUGUAGUCCCUGUCUCUUAUACC